rnacentral:rRNA from 1 species
UACGGGAGGCAGCAGUGGGGAAUAUUGCACAAUGGGCGCAAGCCUGAUGCAGCCAUGCCGCGUGUAUGAAGAAGGCCUUCGGGUUGUAAAGUACUUUCAGCGGGGAGGAAGGCGAUGCGGUUAAUAACCGCGUCGAUUGACGUUACCCGCAGAAGAAGCACCGGCUAACUCCGUGCCAGCAGCCGCGGUAAUACGGAGGGUGCAAGCGUUAAUCGGAAUUACUGGGCGUAAAGCGCACGCAGGCGGUCUGUUAAGUCAGAUGUGAAAUCCCCGGGCUUAACCUGGGAACUGCAUUUGAAACUGGCAGGCUUGAGUCUUGUAGAGGGGGUAGAAUUCCAGGUGUAGCGGUGAAAUGCGUAGAGAUCUGGAGGAAUCCGGUGGCGAAGGCGGCCCCUGGGACAAAGCUGACGCUCAGGGUGCGAAAGCGUGGGGAGCGAAACGAGGAUUAGGAUA